CGGCCUAUGGUCCCUGAAGUACGAGAAUCGAACACCGACUAGUACAAGCCGGAAGUGGCGGUGCGCCUAGCGUCGAAGUACCGGCGAUCUUCAACGUUAAGCAAUCAGAG